GGAUGAUUGGCCGAGUGGCUUAUGGCGCUCCCCUGCUAAGGGAGUAACGGUAGAACGUUCGCAGGUUCGAAUCCUGCAUCAUCCG
rnacentral:tRNA from 1 species